CAAUUGGAAUGAGAACAAUUUAAAUCCCUUAUCGAGUUUCAAUUGGAGGGCAAGUCUGGUGCCAGCAUCCGCGGUAAUUCCAGCUCCAAUAGCGUAUAUUAAAGUUGUUGCCGUUAAAAAGCUCGUAGUCGAACUUCGGGCCUGGCGGGACGGUCCGCCUUACGGUGUGUACUGUCCGGCCGGGUCUUACCUCCUGGUGAGGCCGUAUGCCCUUUACUGGGUGUGCGGUGGAACCAGGAAUUUUACCUUGAGAAAAUUAGAGUGUUCAAAGCAGGCAUAUGCCCGAAUACAUUAGCAUGGAAUAAUAGAAUAGGACGCGCGUUCCCAUUUUGUUGGUUUCUGAGAUCGCCGUAAUGAUUAAUAGGGAUAGUUGGGGGCAUUUGUAUUCCGUCGUCAGAGGUGAAAUUCUUGGAUUGCCGGAAGACAAACUACUGCGAAAGCAUUUGCCAAGGAUGUUUUCAUUGAUCAAGAACGAAGGAAGGGGGAUCGAAAACGAUCAGAUACCGUUGUAGUCUCUUCUGUAAACUAUGCCAAUUGGGGAUCGGCACAGGAUUUUUAAUGACUGUGUCGGCACCCGAAGAGAAAUCUUUAAAUGAGGUUCGGGGGGGAGUAUGGUCGCAAGGCUGAAACUUAAAGAAAUUGACGG
rnacentral:rRNA from 1 species